rnacentral:rRNA from 1 species
CUGGUUGAUCCUGCCAGAGGCCACUGCUAUCGGGGUUCGAUUAAGCCAUGCGAGUCGAGAGGGUUCGGCCCUCGGCAUACUGCUCAGUAACACGUGGAUAACCUGCCCUAAGGAAGGGGAUAACCCCGGGAAACUGGGGAUAAUACCCUAUAGGUUACAGAUGCUGGAAUGCUCUGUAACUCAAAGCUCCGGCGCCUUAGGAUGGAUCUGCGGCCGAUUAGGUUGUUGUUGGGGUAACGGCCCAACAAGCCAGUAAUCGGUACGGGUUGUGGGAGCAAGAGCCCGGAGUUGGAUUCUGAGACACGAAUCCAGGCCCUACGGGGCGCAGCAGGCGCGAAAACUUUACAAUGCGGGCAACCGUGAUAAGGGAACCUCGAGUGCCUGUAUAUGCAGGCUGUCCAGGUGUCUAAAGCACACCUGAAGAAAGGGCCGGGCAAGACCGGUGCCAGCCGCCGCGGUAAUACCGGCGGCUCGAGUGGUGGCCACUUUUAUUGGGCUUAAAGCGUUCGUAGCUGGGUUGUUAAGUCUCUUGGGAAAUCCGACGGCUCAACCGUCGGGCGUCUAAGGGAUACUGGCAAUCUUGGAACCGGGAGAGGUGAGGGGUACUUCGGGGGUAGGAGUGAAAUCCUGUAAUCCUCGAGGGACCACCUGUGGCGAAGGCGCCUCACCAGAACGGCUUCGACAGUGAGGGACGAAAGCUGGGGGAGCAAACCGGAUUAGAUACCCGGGUAGUCCCAGCCGUAAACGAUGCGCGUUAGGUGUAUCGACGACCACGAGUCGUCGAGGUGCCGAAGGGAAACCGUGAAACGUGCCGCCUGGGAAGUACGGUCGCAAGGCUGAAACUUAAAGGAAUUGGCGGGGGAGCACCACAACAGGUGGAGCCUGCGGUUUAAUUGGAUUCAACGCCGGG